rnacentral:snRNA from 1 species
GUGCUCACUUCGGUAGCACAUGUACUAAAUUUGGAAUGAUUCAGAGAAGAUUAACAUGGCCCCUAUACAAGGAUGACACACAAAUUCACAAAACAUUCCAUAUUUUG